AGAGCCCAAACCAAGAAGCUUGCUUCUUGGGGUUGUAGGACACUCUAUACGGAGUUACAAAAGAAAGUUAUAAAUGAAGCGGGCUGGAAAGGCCCGCCAAAGACGGUAACAGCCCGGUAGUUGAAAUAGCUUUCCCUCCAGAGUGGAUCCUGAGUACGGCGGAACACGUGAAAUUCCGUCGGAAUCCGGGAGGACCAUCUCCCAAGGCUA
rnacentral:rRNA from 1 species